GGUUAAGCGACUAAGCGUACACGGUGGAUGCCCUGGCAGUCAGAGGCGAUGAAGGACGUGCUAAUCUGCGAUAAGCGCCGGUAAGGUGAUAUGAACCGUUAUAACCGGCGAUUUCCGAAUGGGGAAACCCAGUGUGACUCGUCACACUAUCAUUAACUGAAUCCAUAGGUUAAUGAGGCGAACCGGGGGAACUGAAACAUCUAAGUACCCCGAGGAAAAGAAAUCAACCGAGAUUCCCCCAGUAGCGGCGAGCGAACGGGGAGGAGCCCAGAGCCUGAAUCAGCAUGUGUGU
rnacentral:rRNA from 1 species